rnacentral:rRNA from 1 species
CCAGACUCCUAGGAGGCAGCAGUGGGGAAUAUUGGGCAAUGGGCGCAAGCCUGACCCAGCAACGCCGCGUGAAGGAAGAAGGCUUUCGGGUUGUAAACUUCUUUUAAGAGGGAAGAGAAGAAGACGGUACCUCUUGAAUAAGCCACGGCUAACUACGUGCCAGCAGCCGCGGUAAUACGUAGGUGGCAAGCGUUGUCCGGAUUUACUGGGUGUAAAGGGCGUGCAGCCGGGCUGACAAGUCAGAUGUGAAAUCUGGAGGCUCAACCUCCAAAUUGCAUUUGAAACUGUUUUUCUUGAGUGCUGGAGAGGCAGACGGAAUUCCUUGUGUAGCGGUGAAAUGCGUAGAUAUAAGGAGGAACACCAGUGGCGAAGGCGGUCUGCUGGACAGCAACUGACGGUGAGGCGCGAAAGCGUGGGGAGCAAACAGGAUUAGAUACCCGAGUAA